rnacentral:rRNA from 1 species
AUUGAACGCUGGCGGCAGGCCUAACACAUGCAAGUCGAGCGGCAGCGGGAAAGUAGCUUGCUACUUUUGCCGGCGAGCGGCGGACGGGUGAGUAAUGCCUGGGAAAUUGCCCAGUCGAGGGGGAUAACAGUUGGAAACGACUGCUAAUACCGCAUACGCCCUACGGGGGAAAGCAGGGGACCUUCGGGCCUUGCGCGAUUGGAUAUGCCCAGGUGGGAUUAGCUAGUUGGUGAGGUAAUGGCUCACCAAGGCGACGAUCCCUAGCUGGUCUGGGAGGAUGCACAGCACACUGGAACUGGGACACGGUCCAGGCUCCUACGGGAGGCAGCAGUGGGGAAUAUUGCACAAUGGGGGGAAACCCUGAUGCAGCCAUGCCGCGUGUGUGAAGAAGGCCUUCGGGUUGUAAAGCACUUUCAGCGAGGAGGAAAGGUUGAUGCCUAAUACGUAUCAACUGUGACGUUACUCGCAGAAGAAGCACCGGCUAACUCCGUGCCAGCCGCCGCGGUAA